rnacentral:rRNA from 1 species
GUGACCCCAGUAUGGGCGAGGCCACCCGCUGAGUUUAAG